GACGAACGCUGGCGGCGUGCCUAAUACAUGCAAGUAGAACGCUGAAGGAGGAGCUUGCUUCUCUGGAUGAGUUGCGAACGGGUGAGUAACGCGUAGGUAACCUGCCUGGUAGCGGGGGAUAACUAUUGGAAACGAUAGCUAAUACCGCAUAAGAGUAGAUGUUGCAUGACAUUUGCUUAAAAGGUGCAAUUGCAUCACUACCAGAUGGACCUGCGUUGUAUUAGCUAGUUGGUGAGGUAACGGCUCAUCAAGGCAACGAUACAUAGCCGACCUGAGAGGGUGAUCGGCCACACUGGGACUGAGACACGGCCCAGACUCCUACGGGAGGCAGCAGUAGGGAAUCUUCGGCAAUGGACGGAAGUCUGACCGAGCAACGCCGCGUGAGUGAAGAAGGUUUUCGGAUCGUAAAGCUCUGUUGUAAGAGAAGAACGAGUGUGAGAGUGGAAAGUUCACACUGUGACGGUAUCUUACCAGAAGGGACGGCUAACUACGUG
rnacentral:rRNA from 1 species